GCAAGGCUGUCAUCAUCAUCAUCAGUAGCAGCAGCAGCAGCAGCCUGGUUACGCCUACUGCAGUGCAAGGCCUCUCUCAUACUUCUCCAACAAGGCUGGCAAGGCUGUGCAAGCCAGCUAGUAUGUCGUGAGGAAUGGCAUUGGUUACUUGAACGCGGUGGUUUCGUCCUAGAUUUUUUUUAUUUUUGUUUCCUUGCGUGUUUCUUCAAAGGGUGGCAUGUGGUUCACUUUAAAUUUUGCGUGAACUAGCACGCUGCAUUCGUUGGCGAAAGGUGUGAGGGCAGGUCUUCUGUUAUCGUGCACGUUCACGCUACGGCAUCCGACGCGCUUGUUUUGUCGUGACGAUAAAUGCGGAGCGCCCCAUGAAGAAACGUCGCGCUAUGUUCAUUUACGCUCAGUAACACAGGCACUGAGUGUCCGAUGGGCAGCAAAAUCGAUAAAGCCAUAAAAAAGUUGGCCGGUAUAAAUAGCGUCGUUGUCAUCCAGUUCGCAUUCCAUUAUCGUCUUCAUAGUGGAGCACAGCACGCAGUGCAAGAGGUGCCUUGACUUCUGCGUCGGGUUUUGCGAACGCGCCACGCCGACUUGCCGUCUGCCAUCCGUCGAAGCUCUGCUACGCAUUCGAAGUCUGGUCUUUCUCUUGCUGAGGAUUCCAUGGCCGAGUUCAACAGGGCCUCUGGUGUGUUCGCGACUCACCUCCUGCGCGGACGUGGUGCCAGGUGGUCCAGUGGCGGCAACGACCAACGGUCCCGUGGCCAAGACACCGGGGACGAGAGGGGGAUACCCAUGGCCUCAAUAGGGUACGUGCCAUCGUCAGGUACACCACCGCCCUCAUACCGUGAGGUGGUGCUCGCCGUCCCCGCCGAGCAGCAUUUCAGCUCAGAUGAAUUGGUCCUAGCUGCAAGACACCUCGGCCACAUCCGCCAGUUGCAGCGGGAGCGGUUCCCCGAGCGUGAAGGGCGAUGGGUAGAUAGAGACGAACAGGCGUCCCGGAGGCACUAUGGCUGGGACAGAUGGUAUCGGCGGAGCUACAUGCAGUGGAAGCAGCACUACAGCUGUAUGUGGGUGUUGACCAUUGUUUUGACGAUCAUUUUCAUUGUGUUUGUGAUAGUGACGCACUUUAUUUACGACGGCCUGCAUGCGGCGACGAAGAAUUUGCCGUAUGAGACGCGCACCUGAAUCCUGGAAGCUGGACCGAGUGCGUGUUAACGCGCCUACCGUAGACGGGAAGGGCAUGACAACAUGCUUAGGGCAUUACUGGCAGGCGGGUUUUUGCCGAAUGAUGUCGUAAUAACGCGCCGGUAUCUAAUGUGAACAUGAAGGAAUAAUUGUAUUGCACCUCGAGUGCUUAAUUUCUUGAGAUUGCUGCGAGUGAUUGCGGCGACGCUUACACGGGAGUGCUAUGGCCCCAAAACUACUGCCCGUUAAUGUUUAACACCAGCUUUCUGCAUAAUGAUGAUGACCUACGCACGACUUCUAGUUGCUUUGCCCGUGUCGGUGCUUCGUUCCGGCGCAACGGCACUUCACGCUACCAUGUGCUUGUUGCUUCUUUUCACUCAGAUAAAGAAACCGCGUUAACUCGUACUGCGUCGCCGUUCAAGUCAUCAAAAUAAGUCCUAGCUUCAUUUUUCAUUUUUAAUGAGUUGUGGUAAAAAUGCCUGCCAACGUAAAUACAUUUGCCGAAAAGUAGUAAAAGAAAAAAAGGAAGCAUCCCAGGUUGCAUCACCCCAAUGCUUAGUGCUGUCUAUUUCGUAACGUUGGUACUUGUGUUUCAGAACUGACGUGUUCCGUACAGUAUGAGCAUUUUAUAGAACUGAUAUGCAUUUUAUAUUGUCCAGUUCAUUUUUAACGGGUCUGUGGACGCCGCACAAGACUGAAAUAAACUGUGCCCAGUUUUCUUGUU